rnacentral:tRNA from 1 species
GCGCCCGUAGCUCAGCUGGAUAGAGUACUGCCCUCCGAAGGCAGUGGUCGGGGGUUCGAAUCCCUCCAGGCGCGCCA